AGUUUGAUCCUGGCUCAGAUUGAACGCUGGCGGCAUGCCUUACACAUGCAAGUCGAACGGCAGCACGGGGUGGUAACACUCUGGUGGCGAGUGGCGGACGGGUGAGUAAAGCAUCGGAACGUGCCCUGGAAUGGGGGAUAACGUAGCGAAAGUUACGCUAAUACCGCAUAUUCUGUGAGCAGGAAAGCAGGGGAUCGCAAGACCUUGCGUUCGAGGAGCGGCCGAUGUCGGAUUAGCUAGUUGGUGGGGUAAAGGCCUACCAAGGCGACGAUCCGUAGCGGGUCUGAGAGGAUGAUCCGCCACACUGGGACUGAGACACGGCCCAGACUCCUACGGGAGGCAGCAGUGGGGAAUUUUGGACAAUGGGCGCAAGCCUGAUCCAGCCAUGCCGCGUGAGUGAAGAAGGCCUUCGGGUUGUAAAGCUCUUUCGGUGGGGAAGAAAUUGCACGGGAUAAUACCCUGUGUAGAUGACGGUACCUGGAGAAGAAGCACCGGCUAACUACGUG
rnacentral:rRNA from 1 species